UACAGAGGGGGCGAGCGUUGUUCGGAAUUACUGGGCGUAAAGGGCGCGUAGGCGGCCUCUUAAGUCGAACGUGAAAUCCCCGGCUCAACCCGGGAACUGCGUCCGAUACUGGGGGGCUUGAAUCCGGGAGAGGGAUGUGGAAUUCCAGGUGUAGCGGUGAAAUGCGUAGAUAUCCUAAGGAACACCGGUGGCGAAGGCGGCACGCUGGACACCUUCUGACGCUGAGGCGCGAAAGCCAGGGGAGCAAACGGG
rnacentral:rRNA from 1 species